rnacentral:rRNA from 1 species
AUGAACGCUGGCGGCGUGCCUAAUACAUGCAAGUCGAGCGAACAGAUGAGGAGCUUGCUCCUCUGACGUUAGCGGCGGACGGGUGAGUAACACGUGGAUAACCUACCUAUAAGACUGGGAUAACUUCGGGAAACCGGAGCUAAUACCGGAUAAUAUAUUGAACCGCAUGGUUCAAUAGUGAAAGACGGUUUUGCUGUCACUUAUAGAUGGAUCCGCGCCGCAUUAGUUAGUUGGUAAGGUAACGGCUUACCAAGGCAACGAUGCGUAGCCGACCUGAGAGGGUGAUCGGCCACACUGGAACUGAGACACGGUCCAGACUCCUACGGGAGGCAGCAGUAGGGAAUCUUCCGCAAUGGGCGAAAGCCUGACGGAGCAACGCCGCGUGAGUGAUGAAGGUCUUCGGAUCGUAAAACUCUGUUAUUAGGGAAGAACAAAUGUGUAAGUAACUAUGCACGUCUUGACGGUACCUAAUCAGAAAGCCACGGCUAACUACGUG